GGGGACGCACAGGUUUCGACAGGGUGACUGUCGGGGGAAGUUGCGUGUCGGGAGAUGAACCUUCCUUCCGUAAACAAUAGGUUCAACAACGAUAGUUGCCAACAACAACAUCAACUACGGGCUCCGCAUCGCUGCUUAGGCAGAGGUGAGGAGGUAGCAGGCAUUGCGACCUGCCCCCGUCCGACAGCGAGUGCCAGUGUGUGCUGCUUGGGCGUAAACGAACUGGCUAGUCCUGAGUCGGCAGUGACCCGCGAAGACAGGGGACGAGAAACAAUCAAAACGGGUCCGCGUCGUCAAGGGUUUGCCUCAUUCCCGGCGACGUUGGAAGAUUUGAGGACACACACGUAGACGCGGACUUCGGGUGAUUCUGGACGCGGGUUCGAUUCCCGCCGUCUCCACCA
rnacentral:tmRNA from 1 species